rnacentral:lncRNA from 1 species
AGCUACAUCCGUCACCUGACACGGCCCUACCAGGAACAGCCGCGCUCCCGCGGAUUCUGGUGCUGCUCGCGUCCCCGCUCCCCUAUUCCCCUUAUUUUAUUCCUGGCUCCCCUCGUCGAAAGUCUUCCAUUCUUCAAACUAGAUUAUUUAAAAAUGAAAAAGGAAGAAAGGAAAGCGAGGUCAUCUCAUUGCUCUAUCCGCCAAUCAGGAGGCUGAAUGUCAGUUUUGAACUAAAAGCCGCUCCGCUCCUCUUCUAGAUUUGGAAAACAAGCGAAAUUAAACUAAACCGCUGCACGCCUCUGACGCGACAUCUGGACACGGCGCGGCGCUGGCGCUGCCGGAGCUGUCGACCCGGCCUGGCGCCGGACUAGUGUCCCUUUUGAUGAGAAGAAUAAGCCUCAUUCUGAUUCAACAGCAGAGAUCAAAGAAAAGACUUCUGUUUUCUGGCCACCAGAUAUAUGUUAUCUGUGCUUAAAGAAUUGAAAAACACACAUCAAAGGAGAAUUUUCUUGGAAAGAGAGGGUUCAAGCAUCACUGUUAGGUGUGCUGGAAUCCUUUCCCGAGUCAGUACUGCUUUCUAGAAGAAAACCGGGGAGAUCUAUUUGGAAUGUAUCUAACUCCAAAGAAACCAUCAGAGGUAACAGUAUCUUACAGACAGCAAGUUGAACAUUGUGGGAUGCAUGAGCUAUUGAGGCCUUUGCAGCUUUCUGCUACAUGGAGGCUAGGGCCAGAGUCAAGAUUUAUGCUUUGCAGCACACUGGUCAGCUGUUUUUGCAAAUCAGAUUAAAUGAUUUUUAAAUGAGGCUGAGAGCAUGGGAGAUACUAAUGUGUGUUUCCUUGUGAGCUACUGCAUAAGUUAGGAAAUUGAAAUACAGAAAGAUGAAAAGUGAUUUGCCCAAGCAUAUAGAUCAAAGCUGUGGCAGAACCAGGACUGGAACCUAUAUCUCUCUACUAAUGGUUUUUUUAAAAAAAUAACCUUGUUUCAAAAAUAUUAAAAAGUCACAAGAAAGGUAAACAUGUGGAUAAACAAAAUGAAGAAAAUAAAAAUUAUCCAGUAAUAACAUA